rnacentral:rRNA from 1 species
CAAGCGUUGUCCGGAAUCAUUGGGCGUAAAGCGCGUGUAGGCGGCUCGAUAAGUCUGCUGUGAAAGUCCAGGGCUCAACCCUGGAAUGCCGGUGGAAACUGUCGAGCUAGAGUACGGAAGAGGUGAGUGGAAUUCCUGGUGUAGCGGUGAAAUGCGCAGAUAUCAGGAGGAACACCAAUGGCGAAGGCAGCUCACUGGGACGUUACUGACGCUGAGACGCGAAAGCGUGGGGAGCAAACAGG